rnacentral:rRNA from 1 species
GACGAACGCUGGCGGCGUGCUUAACACAUGCAAGUCGAACGGUAAGGCCCUUCGGGGUACGACGAGUGGCGAACGGGUGAGUAACACGUGGGUGGUCUGCCCUGCACUUCGGGAUAAGCCUGGGAAACUGGGUCUAAUACCGGAUAGGACUCCUGGCUUCAUGGUUGGGGGUGUAAAGCUUUUGCGGUGUGGGAUGGGCCCGCGGCCUAUCAGCUUGUUGGUGGGGUAAUGGCCUACCAAGGCGACGACGGGUAGCCGGCCUGAGAGGGUGACCGGCCACACUGGGACUGAGAUACGGCCCAGACUCCUACGGGAGGCAGCAGUGGGGAAUAUUGCACAAUGGGCGCAAGCCUGAUGCAGCGACGCCGCGUGAGGGAU